UACAAGCUGUUCUGCAGAAAUUCACCAAAGCUCUCUCUAAAUCCACGAACACUUCCAACUGGAAGGACAAGAGCAGCAGAUACAUGGGAACACAACCACCUCCAAGUUCCCCUCCGAGCCCCUCACCAUCCCGACUCGGAAAUAUAUUACCGUUCCUUCACUGUCGCUGGGUCAGAAUCUGGAAUUCCCUCCCUCAGAGCAUUGGGGGUCAACCCCAGCAGGGAGACUGCAGCGGUUCAAGAAGGCAGCACAUCAAUACUAUCUCAAGUGGGGGCAACUAGGGACGGGGCAGUAAAUGUUAGCUGGCUAGCGAUAAAAACAGAAUGUUACCUGAAAACUGAAGGGACACACAGGGCAAAAUCUUUUGGAAAUUUCAGACUCUGGGAGUAAAUCAACUGAAUGCCAAGGGGCUGUGGCACACUAUGGAUGGUUCAACUGAAUGCCAAGGGGCUGUGGCACACUGUAAAGAUAAAUCAAGUGGAUACUAAGGGGCUGUGGCAGGUGGUAGUGUUGGGGGAAAGGCAGAGUGUUACCCCCGCACGCUAACCUGAAGAAACUGUUUGAAUCCAUAGGGACCUCGACCUAUCGGAGUUCCUCAUCAACCCCAAGGCGAAACAUUCCAAAUAUGACCUCAUCGCCGUUUCCAACCACUACGGGAGUCUCCGUGAUGGCCACUAUACAACAAUUGCGAGGAACAAGGAUGACGGACUCUGGUAUUACUUUGAUGACAGUAAGGUGACCUUCGCCUCUGCUGAGCACAUUGUGAGCAGCGCCGCCUACGUGCUGUUUUACCAACUGCAGGAGAAGGUGCCGCGGCGGCCGGGGGGCUCCCCUGAGGACGGGUGCCCCCCCUCGGCGAGUGGGAGCAGCCGGCAGACGGAAAGCCCACCCCCGGGGGCCGGUGGGGAAAUGGAGAUGGAGUGACCCAAAACCGACCAAGACUUGUGACUGGCACCCGUCGCCAACAACCCCCCUUCCCCCCCCCACUGUUGGAUUUGGGAGCAUGACGGAGGCGGGCUGGGGCGAUUUGAUCUGAACACCCCCUCCACCCCCCUGCGCGGUUGCCAACCUCCCGCAGGGCCUGGGAUCGGACUGUGCACUGCAAAUCGGAACGAUACUGAUCCACCCGUCUCCGCAAACCUCAAUAUUUAAACCCUUUAAAACUCUCUGCCGUCGCUCCCUCCCCAACCAGGGUUUUUUUUUGGGGGGUGGGGGAAACACAUUUAGCCCCACCCCCCACACGCCCCCUGCUCCCAACACCUUUAACCGAAGGCUGGCCGGAUUGGUCUGGGGGCGGUUGGCGUCCCGACUGGGUGAGGCGGGAGGGAGAAGAGAGGUGAGGUGUUGCAGAGUCGGCCCUUCCCUCGGCAGGGAGCGGGAUCUUCCUGUGCUUCCCGAUUUCUCCCCGCCCGCCCCCUACGAAACGGGUCGAUUUAUCUCAGGGACUCCCUGCGGACCGAAGCGGGUUCGCGACCGAGCGACCUCAAGUGAUUUUUUUUUUUCCCCUGUCCUCCCCACUCCCCCUCCUCGUUGGAGUGUGGGGGGGGGGGCUUAAUUGGAACUAACUCUCUCACACACGCACAGCCCCCUAUUCCCCAAUCGCCCUCUGUGAGGCGCUCUCUCUCUCUGAUUUUCCCCCAUGUGUGUGUGUGUGUGAGGAACCUGUGGCCUUAAUCCAGAAGACUUAGGGGAACCUCCAUCUUUCAUUCCCCCCCCCCCCCCCUCAAUCCCCACCCUGACUGCGGAGGGUCAGUGGGACCCCCAAAUCACCAAUGUGGAGGGGGAGGGCAUGAAAUGCAGCAGGGUUGGUUUGUGCAAAGAGAGAGAGAGGGAGGGAGGGAGAGGGUUUCAGUGGUCCCGUCACUCACCCCGUCCUUCCUCAGAGCUGGGCGCACAACAUUGGUGACUCUGGCUCCCCCCCCCCCCCACCCCCCACACGCUCCGAGACUGGCUGGAGAUGUGGAUAAUUCUCUCUCUCUCUUGCGCACACGUGCCCCCACUCUCUCUCCCCCCCUCCACCUCUCACACACCCUCCUCCCCAAACUGCCCCCGUCUGUUCACACAGCGACCCGCUGCACUGACCUUUUCCCCCCC